UACGUAGGGGGCAAGCGUUGUCCGGAUUUAUUGGGCGUAAAGAGCGUGUAGGCGGCUAGGUAGGUCCGUUGUGAAAACUCGAGGCUCAACCUCGAGACGUCGAUGGAAACCAUCUAGCUAGAGUCCGGAAGAGGAGAGUGGAAUUCCUGGUGUAGCGGUGAAAUGCGCAGAUAUCAGGAAGAACACCCGUGGCGAAGGCGGUUCUCUGGGACGGUACUGACGCUGAGACGCGAAAGCGUGGGGAGCGAACAGG
rnacentral:rRNA from 1 species